AAUUUCUCUUUCUUCAGGAAUCCAUGGGAUCUUUUCCAAAUUCUCCAUUUACAUUUUCUUUUUUUCUCUGCCUGACGAUCAUCUGCAAUUUUCUUUUUCCUUUAUAAGCAGAUGAUCAGGCAGAGAUCAAGAAAAUGUUUAAAUGGAAGAGAAUUUGGAAAAUAAUGGUGUCUCAAUUUCCUUCAAGAUUCACCAUCUGAUUACUGCCUUCUUCCUAUGAUCUCACUCUUCUUUGUAAAAGAGAUUACGAGUGAGAUGGAAGAAGGCAUUAAGAUGGUGAAUCAGGAAAUUGAUCAAUGACACCAUUAUGAUCCCAGGGAAGCCAGCUUCAAUAUUGAUCACACCCACAGAUAAAAGCUGGGCUCUAAACUCAUGAGUUUUUAAAAGAAAAGAACGAGCCCAGCAUCUGUGGGUGAUCAUGAUCAAUAGCUGGCUUCAAUUCCUUGACGGUACGUUAUUUUCUUUAUUGAGCUCGUCUUUCUUUCAUUCUCUUAUUAUAAGAGCUCAAUAAAGGAAAAGAUAACGUGUAA
rnacentral:ribozyme from 1 species